rnacentral:lncRNA from 1 species
AUCUAAUAUGGUAUCAAAAUCUAUGAAUAUAAAUAAAACACCUUUUAUUUAUCACCAUAUGAUUACACAUUAUUCAUUGUAUAUUGUUUCAGCUAUCAACUUUAUUCUUGAAUUUAAAACAAUAGUAGUCCCAUGCUCCAAGCAUGUACAUUAUGUUUUCAUAACACUAGUCAUGCCACACACCAAGUAUGCAUACUAUGCUUGUCUAUGAUCUUCACUUUGUGAAUUAGAUCAAUUGAACAUAACUCUAAUGAUCCUCUUUCACAGUCCCAAAUCCUUACUGCAAGUGCAAGAAUUCCAAAUUCAUGCCAUUUACUGAAAUCUGUUAGAUUCUAAACUUAUAUGCAUUGAUCUUCUUGUAAUGAUUAUGCACAAAGUCAGAAAGACUUGACAACAAUCAUUACAGAGCAUUCCAAAGGAGAUCAACUCCUUGGAAACAUCCUUCUUGCAUUAAGUUUCCUUAAUCUUACACAGAUUGAAAAUUCUAACUUUGAAACAUUUCCAGAUUCCAUUUUGACUAUCACUUCUGAACAAGAGUUGCCUCCUUACAGAUUAUGUCAAUAUGGUCCUUCCAGAAUUAUCACUAUACUUCCAACUGUCCUUGAGCAACCAAUCUUUGGUAAACCUUAGAUUGUCCUCGACAAUUGUUUAAUCCUUUUAGUCAUAUCCAGUUCUAAACCUUUUCCCUUCUUAAUGCCCCAGGCAUUUGGAAAAUUUUAGAACGGAUGAAUAUAGCACAUGUAAUCGAUCCUAUAUCCGAAGCAUAUGGGACACGAUUCAUGAUGUCUUACAUAAAGACUAAACCAGUCUUUUGCUAUAAUAUUUCCAUUUCAAUUUGCCAAGUUCUCAUAAUUCAGAUUAUGAAAAGGGAUGCCGUAAUCAUAAUCGAAUUUUAGAACGCAAAUAAUGGACCCAUAUACAGAAUUUCCUUAUGUUGAGCCAUUCCAACAUGAAAUUCAUAUAUAUCCUUGACUAAAUGANUAGAUCAAUUGAACAUAACUCCAAUGAUCCUUUUUCACAGUCCCAAAUCCUUACUGCAAAUGCAAGAAUUCCAAAUUCAUGCCAUUUACUGAAAUCUGUUAGAUUCUAAACUUAUAUGCAUUGAUCUUCUUGUAAUGAUUAUGCACAAAGUCAGAAAGACUUGACAACAACCACUACAGAGCAUUCCAAAGGAUAUCAACUCCUUGGAAACAUCCUUCUUGCAUUAAGUUUCCUAAUCUUACACAGAUUGAAUACUUUCUAACUUUGAAACAUUUCCAGAUUCCAUUUUGACUAUCACUAUACUUCCAACUGUCCUUGAGCAACCAAUAUUUGGUAAACCUUAGAUUGUCCACGACAAUUGUUUAAUCCUUUUAGUCAU